AUGCGUUUCCUUAUUAAACUUUGUUACAUAUUAAAUUGCUUUUUAAAAUACCUAACUCUCUAGUAAAAUAAAAGUAAAAUAUAGAUCUAAGAAUUUAUAUUUUUUAGGUUGAAUCUGUGCAGUCAGUAUCGACAACACAAAAAUAUGAUGAUCAAAAUUCCAAUAGGUACCCUCAACGAGCUAUAGAGGAGGUAAAAGGAAUAGACAGAAAUCAAAUGAUUAAAAUGUGUCCCCAGGUGCUAAAACUCCAAAACUGUUGCAGAAGCAAAAGCAGAUAUCAGCUAAUCGUCUUAAGAAAUUGCUUGUUAUAUGCUUAUAAAUAUGGAAGAAACAGAAGUUCUCCGCAGCAUCGAAAACGGAAAUAAAGAUUUUCUAAAACUCAAGGAAACGAUAUUCAAGCCAAUUACGCAACUUUUCCUUAUGUCUAAAUUUCAUAAGUCCAAAAGCGUACAUUUACGUACGAAAAACAUUCGACAUUUGCUUACCACAUCCGAAAAAAAUAAAGUGGUCGACUGCAAUCCAGGAUUUACGAAAGAGUCAUUUCAGGCUCUUGAAACGUUAGCAAAUGAAUGGGAAAAAAAAACAGUGGGCUACAUUGAUUUUGUACCUACUUGAUUUUUAUGUUCCAAUAUUUGUAAUCGGCCCUUAGCACAGAAAUUUAUACAUGUAUAAAAUAACCUAUGAAUAUGAUAAUAAAACACAUUGAAACUG